rnacentral:rRNA from 1 species
UAGGGAAUCUUCGGCAAUGGGGGCAACCCUGACCGAGCAACGCCGCGUGAGUGAAGAAGGUUUUCGGAUCGUAAAGCUCUGUUGUAAGAGAAGAACGUGUGUGAGAGUGGAAAGUUCACACAGUGACGGUAACUUACCAGAAAGGGACGGCUAACUACGUGCCAGCAGCCGCGGUAAUACGUAGGUCCCGAGCGUUGUCCGGAUUUAUUGGGCGUAAAGCCAGCGCAGGCGGUUUAAUAAGUCUGAAGUUAAAGGCAGUGGCUGAACCAUUGUUGUCGUUGGAAACUGUUGAACUUGAGUGCAGAAGGAGAGAGUGGAAUUCCAUGUGUAGCGGUGAAAUGCGUAGAUAUAUGGAGGAACACCGGUGGCGAAAGCGGCUCUCUGGUCUGUAACUGACGCUGAGGCUCGAAAGCGUGGGGAGCAAACAGG